UUAAUUUUUAAAAGAACAUUUUCAAUGUAUAUAUAUACUAAAGCAAAGUAUAAGUAGAGCCCUCGGGAGUUAUACCUAUAUACAUUACAAACUUAUUGUAGAUGAACUAUAGCUAUAGAUUUACGCACCUAUAUUAUAGUAUAUGAUACCCAGUGGAUUUUGACAUUUAAACGUAGACAUGUUUUUAGUCUAGUAAGAAUCAAGUUUUACUUUUUAAAUAUAUCGUAUAUAAUAACUGCAGCUUUAUUAUAACACAAAUAGUUGAUAUGAGCAAUAAAACAAAUUGUUUUAAAGAAAAAAAAUACGCUCAAAAAUAUUCGAAGCAAUGGGAACAAGACGAAAACUUAAAAGAUUGGAUAGCUCCUGAUCCUACUGGUAACUGUCAAAAAGCUUAUUGUAAAUAUUGCCGUA